AUUGAACGCUGGCGGCAUGCUUUACACAUGCAAGUCGAACGGCAGCGCGGGCUUCGGCCUGGCGGCGAGUGGCGAACGGGUGAGUAAUACAUCGGAACGUGCCCAGUAGUGGGGGAUAGCUCGGCGAAAGCCGGAUUAAUACCGCAUACGACCUGAGGGUGAAAGCGGGGGAUCUUCGGACCUCGCGCUAUUGGAGCGGCCGAUGGCAGAUUAGCUAGUUGGUGGGGUAAAGGCCUACCAAGGCGACGAUCUGUAGCUGGUCUGAGAGGACGACCAGCCACACUGGGACUGAGACACGGCCCAGACUCCUACGGGAGGCAGCAGUGGGGAAUUUUGGACAAUGGGCGAAAGCCUGAUCCAGCAAUGCCGCGUGUGUGAUGAAGGCCUUCGGGUUGUAAAGCACUUUUGGCGGGAACGAAAAGGGACUGUGCCAAUACC
rnacentral:rRNA from 1 species